UAGGGAGCAACUACAACUACAAGCAUUUACAGUUUAGUUCAGAAAAACUGCAACCACGCAGCAGAGGGAAGGAUAAAUUAAAAAUGUCUAUAGUUUUUGCUCCUGAAGUUCUCAGCGUACCAAAUGGAUUUCAUCGUUUGCUGCAUGACAUAGGAAAAGAGGUUCUGCAAUCACAAGCAGAUACCAGCCAAGACAUUUGUGUAGUGGCAGCAAGAUUAUUAAGGGAACAGAUACUUCUCAGAGAACAUAAUGGUAGAGACCCCUACACAGGAGAACCGUACGUGUCAGACGACCCUGACGGAACCGCUGCAGAGGAAGGGUCUUGAAAUCAUUCCAGCUUUGGGGGAAAUUGUUGUUUUAAACGUUUUUGAAGACUUACUUGAUUCAAUUGUCAAUGGUUAAUAAUAAUAUAUUAAUAUAUUAAAGCACAAAUAAAG